GUUUAUACAACAUGGAGAGUUUGAUCCUGGCUCAGGAUGAACGCUGGCGGUCUGCUUAACACAUGCAAGUCGAACGGAACUCUUCGGAGUUUAGUGGCGGACGGGUGAGUAACGCGUGAGAAUCUGCCUUCAGGUUGGGGACAACAGUUGGAAACGACUGCUAAUACCCAAUGUGCCGAGAGGUGAAAGCUUUAGUGCCUGAAGAUGAGCUCGCGUCUGAUUAGCUAGUUGGAAGUGUAAUGGACUCCCAAGGCGACGAUCAGUAGCUGGUCUGAGAGGACGAUCAGCCACACUGGGACUGAGACACGGCCCAGACUCCUACGGGAGGCAGCAGUGGGGAAUCUUGCGCAAUGCACGACAGUGUGACGCAGCAACGCCGCGUGGGGGAAGAAGGCUUUCGGGUCGUAAACCCCUUUCAGGAGGGACGAAGCUCCGGUAGCGAAUAGCUGUCCGGAGUGACGGUACCUCCACAAGAAGCCCCGGCUAACUACGUGCCAGCAGCC
rnacentral:rRNA from 1 species